AUUGAACGCUGGCGGCAGGCCUAACACAUGCAAGUCGAACGAGUGGCGGACGGGUGAGUAAUGUCUGGGAAACUGCCCGAUGGCGGGGGAUAACUACUGGAAACGGUAGCUAAUACCGCAUACUAUCGGAUGUGCCCAUAUGGGCUUAGCUAGUAGGUGGGGUAACGGCUAACCUAGGCUACGAUCCCUAGCUUGUGUGAGAGGAUGACCAGCCACACUGGAACAGAGCCACGGUCCAGACUCCUACGUGAGGCAGCAGUGGGGAAUAGUGCACAAUGGGCGCAAUCCUGAUGCAUCCAUGCCGCGUGUAUGAAGAAGGCCUUCGGGUUGUAAAGUACUUUCAGCGAGGAGGCGUUACUCGCAGAAGAAGCACCGGCUAACUCCGUGCCAGCAGCCGCGGUAAUAC
rnacentral:rRNA from 1 species